rnacentral:rRNA from 1 species
GACGAACCGUGCAAACGUUGUUCGGAAUCACUGGGCUUAAAGGGCGCGUAGGCGGCCACCGCAAGUCGGUUGUGAAAUCUCCGGGCUUAACCCGGAAAGGUCAAUCGAUACUGCGGGGCUAGAGUGCAGAAAGGGCAACUGGAAUUCUCGGUGUAGCGGUGAAAUGCGUAGAUAUCGAGAGGAACACCUGCGGCGAAGGCGGGUUGCUGGGCUGACACUGACGCUGAAGCGCGAAAGCUAGGGGAGCGAACGGG